UACAGAGGGGGCAAGCGUUAUUCGGAAUUAUUGGGCGUAAAGCGCGCGUAGGUGGUCUGAUAAGUCGGGUGUGAAAGCCCUCGGCUUAACCGAGGAAGUGCAUUCGAAACUGUCAGACUUGAGUACUGAAGAGGAUCGCGGAAUUCCCGGUGUAGAGGUGAAAUUCGUAGAUAUCGGGAGGAACACCAGUGGCGAAGGCGGCGAUCUGGGCAGAUACUGACACUGAGGCGCGAAAGCGUGGGAGCAAACAGG
rnacentral:rRNA from 1 species